rnacentral:tmRNA from 1 species
GGGGGCGUUAUGGCUUCGACGUGGGUGUUGAACCUGUAAGCGCAUGCCGAGGGUGCAGUAAGCCUUGUAAAACUGCUGCAAAUUAUAUAGUUGCCAACGACGACAACUACGCACUAGCCGCUUAAGAACCGGUGUAGAGCCGUCUGAUGUUAUGCUUCUUGUGGUGUUUCAUUAAGGCGUCAUAAUUCACAAGACUUGACAAGUUCUUUUGAUUGGUAGGACUUGUUUAGAAAUAAUCCAAUCUAUUCGUUGAUAGUCUUGCUCGUCAGAAUGCCAACGAAGAAAAAAAAGAACGAGCUAAGCAUGUAGACCUAACAGCUGAUAGCUUGCGGACGCGGGUUCGACUCCCGCCGCCUCCACCA